GGGUUGUGAGGUUAAGCGACUAAGCGUACACGGUGGAUGCCCUGGCAGUCAGAGGCGAUGAAGGGCGUGCUAAUCUGCGAUAAGCGCCGGUAAGGUGAUAUGAACCGUUAUAACCGGCGAUACCCGAAUGGGGAAACCCAGUGUGAUUCGUCACACUAUCAUUAACUGAAUCCAUAGGUUAAUGAGGCGAACCGGGGGAACUGAAACAUCUAAGUACCCCGAGGAAAAGAAAUCAACCGAGAUUCCCCCAGUAGCGGCGAGCGAACGGGGAGGAGCCCAGAGCCUGAAUCAGCAUGUGUGUUAGUGGAAGCGUCUGGAAAGGCGCGCGAUACAGGGUGACAGCCCCGUACACAAAAGCGCAUAUGCUGUGAGCUCGAUGAGUAGGGCGGGACACGUGGUAUCCUGUCUGAAUAUGGGGGGACCAUCCUCCAAGGCUAAAUACUCCUGACUGACCGAUAGUGAACCAGUACCGUGAGGGAAAGGCGAAAAGAACCCCGGCGAGGGGAGUGAAAAAGAACCUGAAACCGUGUACGUACAAGCAGUGGGAGCCCCACCACUAAGCCAGUGGUGAACUCCACAUACGCAUCCUUUGCUGAGGAGACGGUUAACGGAGCGAAAGCGACGUUCAACCUCAAAAGAAGCAGAGGGGGCUUAGUGGUGGGGUGACUGCGUACCUUUUGUAUAAUGGGUCAGCGACUUAUAUUCUGUAGCAAGGUUAACUGUAUAGGGGAGCCGGAGGGAAACCGAGUCUUAACCGGGCGUUAAGUUGCAGGGUAUAGACCCGAAACCCGGUGAUCUAGCCAUGGGCAGGUUGAAGGUUGGGUAACACUAACUGGAGGACCGAACCGACUAAUGUUGAAAAAUUAGCGGAUGACCUGUGGCUGGGGGUGAAAGGCCAAUCAAACCGGGAGAUAGCUGGUUCUCCCCGAAAGCUAUUUAGGUAGCGCCUCGUGAAUUCAUCUCCGGGGGUAGAGCACUG
rnacentral:rRNA from 1 species